rnacentral:rRNA from 1 species
GACGAACGCUGGCGGCGUGCUUAACACAUGCAAGUCGAACGGAAAGGCCCUGCUUGCAGGGUCCUCGAGUGGCGAACGGGUGAGUAACACGUGGGUGCUCUGCCCUGCACUUCGGGAUAAGCUUGGGAAACUGGGUCUAUUACCGGAUAGGAGCCAUCUUUAGUGUGGUGGUUGGAAAGUUUUUUCGGUGUAGGAUGAGCUCGCGGCCUAUCAGCUUGUUGGUGGGGUAAUGGCCUACCAAGGCGGCGACGGGUAGCCGGCCUGAGAGGGUGUACGGCCACAGUGGGACGGAGAUACGGCCCAGAGUCCUACGGGAGGCAGCAGGGGGGAAUAUUGGACAAUGGGCGCAAGCCUGAUGCAGCGACGCCGCGUGGGGGAUGAAGGCCUUCGGGUGGUAAACUCCUUUCGCGAGGGACGAAGCUUUGUUGUGACGGUACCUAGAGAAGAAGCACCGGCUAACUACGUG